rnacentral:tRNA from 1 species
GCCCGGUUAGCUCAGUUGGUAGAGCAUCAGACUUUUAAUCUGAGGGCCAUGGGUUCGAGUCCCAAUCGGGCU